rfam:Cavia porcellus supercont2_20 genomic scaffold, whole genome shotgun sequence.
GAUCUUCGGGCUGCUGGGGGAUCCCCUUGCCCCUCAGCCAGGGCUGGAGGCCGAGAUCAGCCCCGGAGGAGGAGCAUCGUCAGCACUGCCUCGAGUGGGCAGCCUUGUUUUCCUGCACGUGU